rnacentral:rRNA from 1 species
GACGAACGCUGGCGGCGUGCUUAACACAUGCAAGUCGAACGGAAAGGCCCUGCUUUUGUGGGGUGCUCGAGUGGCGAACGGGUGAGUAACACGUGAGUAACCUGCCCUUGACUUUGGGAUAACUUCAGGAAACUGGGGCUAAUACCGGAUAGGAGCUCCUGCUGCAUGGUGGGGGUUGGAAAGUUUCGGCGGUUGGGGAUGGACUCGCGGCUUAUCAGCUUGUUGGUGGGGGAGUGGCUUACCAAGGCUUUGACGGGUAGCCGGCCUGAGGGGGUGACCGGCCCCAUUGGGACUGGGAUCCGGCCCGGACUCCUACGGAGGCAGCAGUGGGGAAUAUUGCACAAUGGGCGGAAGCCUGAUGCAGCAACGCCGCGUGCGGGAUGACGGCCUUCGGGUUGUAAACCGCUUUCGCCUGUGACGAAGCGUGAGUGACGGUAAUGGGUAAAGAAGCACCGGCUAACUACGUG